UACAGAGGGGGCAAGCGUUGUUCGGAAUUACUGGGCGUAAAGGGUGCGUAGGUGGUGAGGUAAGUCUAAUGUGAAAUCUCCGAGCUUAACUCGGAAACUGCAUCGGAUACUAUCUCGCUCGAGGGUUGGAGGGGAGACUGGAAUACUUGGUGUAGCAGUGAAAUGCGUAGAUAUCAAGUGGAACACCAGUGGCGAAGGCGAGUCUCUGGACAACUCCUGACACUGAGGCACGAAAGCUAGGGGAGCAAACAGG
rnacentral:rRNA from 1 species